rnacentral:lncRNA from 1 species
GCAAUUAAAGAGACACUAAAUAGCCACAGUGGCAGUUAAAGAGAGACUAAAGAGACACUGUCACUACACUAAAUAGCCACAGUGGCAGUUAAAGAGAGAGACUAAAGAGACACUGUCACUACAGUGGCAAUUAAAGAGACACUGUCACUACACUAAAUAGCCACAGUGGCAGUUAAAGAGACUAAAGAGACACAGUGGCAACACUGUCACUACACUAAAUAGCCACAGUGGCAAUUAAAGAGACACUAAAUAGCCACAGUGGCAGUUAAAGAGAGAGACUAAAGAGACACUGUCACUACACUAAAGAGACACUAAAUAGCCACAGUGGCAGUUAAAGAGAGACUAAAGAGACACUGUCACUACACUAAAUAGCCACAGUGGCAGUUAAA